rnacentral:rRNA from 1 species
ACCUCGCGGCCGGUCACGGCCGUCGAGGGGUGUUGCGUACAGGUGGGUCCGCACCGCCCGUGCCACCUACCGCCUAAGUCGUUGCUUAAAAGCAGCCCACAGCAGGGUGAAAGGCCCGUGUGGCGGCGCCUGUGAAAAGGGUUUAGGCGGCGCGGGCGGAGGGACCUUCACCGGAGAGUCGGGUUGCUUAGUACUGCAGCCCAAAGCAGGUGGUAAACUCCAUCUAAGGCUAAAUACGACCACGAGUCCGAUAGCAGACAAGUACCGUGAGGGAAAGUUGAAAAGCACUCUGAAGAGAGAGUCAAGAGGACGUGAAACCACUAGAAGCGCAAACGGGUGGAGCCGUGAAGGUCGAACGAGAGGGGGAUUCAGCCCGCGGGCGGGCGGCGGCAGCGGGGCGGCGCAUACGAAUAAUUGACAUGAGAGGACCCGGCAUAAACUGGUGCAUGGCCGGUGCCCGGCCCCCGCCGCACGCCCGCUCCGCGGGUUUACUUCUCCCGAAUCCAGUAGCACGCCGCGAGCCCCCGGCUUGCCCUCCCCGAAGGCCGUCCCGGAUUGGUAGGCCCGAC